ACUAUCAAACCAAACAAUGUGGUCAAGAGUAUUGUAUUAGAGAAAGACCAUAUUGCAUUUGUAAUCCUAAACUGAAUAGGUUCUCCACCUCUUCUGAUUAGCUUGGGUAACCAUGAUAUGCUGCUAGGUGUCACUCAUGGUUUGUGGAAGCCCUAAACGUGUAUAAUCACUAAAGGGAGAAUUGAAAGUAAGUUUCAAUUCACAAUCGAUUUGAAAUGGUUUUAAUCGCCCACUGCCUCGCUACAAGGAACCUAAUGGAUCGUACACCGUGUAAGGUAGAGAUUGAAGAAACAACGGAGAUGAGUAAGAAUAAUUAAAUGGUUUAAUUAUUUAUGGAAAGGAUUAAUUAAUAUGUUAAUUAAUCAAACGAAUAAGUUCGUUAAAAGACCACGGGUUAGUUUUGGGCCUCAAGGCCCAAUGGGCUUCGAACGUCAAGCCCAUUGACUUAAGUUGUAUGACAACUUAAUGACAAAUAAUUCACAAAGGCCUUAAAAUCCCAAUGAAACCCUAU
rnacentral:lncRNA from 1 species